CCCACCCUUGUGAGUCAGAAUUGUAUCACGAAGCACAUAAGUAAAGCUAGCGAUUAGGAUACUGUGUUAGCUGGCAGGGUUGACGAGGAUAUUGCUAUGUUCCCUCUGGAUUUUAUUCUUGUAAUGAAAAAAGACUGACUCUGCCUUAGGAAACGGAGACAAAAUAAUGAAAAAAGUGCACCAGGACUCUUGAUAAGACACUGUUUGGGGUUAAAACAACAGCCAGUCUCAUGUUUUCUCCUGACCAAGAGAACCACCCCGCUAAAGCACCUGUGAAGUACGGGGAACUCAUUGUAUUAGGUUCUGAUAUGAAGUUGUAAAUAGCAGACAUGGAAAUACAGGACACAAAAAGAAAAGACAAAGAAAAUUAACCCCUGACAUUCUAAAAUCAUGACAUCUUC